AUGACAACAGAGCACUGGCAAAAGGAAAGAGAGACCCCACUUCAUGCACUGUUUUGGAAGUUCCCUAGAGUGAAAAAUGAUAUCUUAAGGAAGAAGAUUCCACAAUGCCUUAAGCCAAUUCACUGGAAGACAAUUAGCCUUGCCUCUGGAAAGGCAGAAAUCAGCCCAUUGGCUUUGUACUGCAGAGAACAAAGAAGGAAGUGUGCCGCAGCUGGGUGUUUGGCACUUCAUGAAAUGAUGUUUUCGCAGAAGCCUGCCUUGAGCCUGCCUCCCUGGCAGGAGAAAAGCUGCGUCUGUGUGUGCAAACCAGGUGGUUGCAAUUCCUGUCUAGCCAUGCUCAGGUCUCAAUUAUCCAGGAAGGCAUCUGCGUCUCCUACGGUCCCGGGCCCUUUAAUCCAGGGGGAGAGAUUGGAUUGUUCUCGUUGGAGUAAAUGAGCUGGCUGCAGAAGCAGUCAUGGCAAAGCUCCUGUCUCCAGCAGGUGAGCUGAAUGGCUUUUUCCAACAGGAGCAGCAGUUGGACCCUGGCACUACCUGCGGAAUAACAUCAGCCAGGAGGCUGGCAGAGAGCAGCGGGAAGAGUUGGCUCUACGGGCUGUAAACCUUGGAUGCCUUCUUACCCAAAUUUUGUUGCGUUCCCCUGUUAGUGAGCCAAGCGCUGCUGGUAGAGAAAGGAAUACCUUGUCUGACAGAAAAAUGAACACCGGAGGGGAAUUCUCAUCCCUGAUGUUAACGCAGCUCUCUUUUUGCCCUGGUGAAGGAAUGCGGAGCUGUGUGUGAGGAUGUGACGAUGGGGAAUAGAGAGCAGGUGGAAAUAUACUUUAGCAAAUGCAUGACAUCUGCCGCCUUACAUGCUCUCUAAGUGAGAGAUGCCAUGCUAAUGGCUGUACAUAAUUUUCUUUCCUCUUCCCUCUCCUCUCCCCCCUUCAUUCCACUCCUUAUUUUUCAUCUGCUGGCAACGCUUUGCAACGAUGGUCCAUGCCCUCACUCGUCUGUGGACGAGCUACACGCAGAAAAGUGCAUGCAAAAGAACUGUGUGUAAAAAAGUCAUUAAUUGUUGAUACCUUGAUAUUAACUACUCCCAUCAUCUGUUUGUGAGUUUUUAUCCAAUAUGUUUCUGAUCUUUUAUAUUGUUGGCAUAUUGGAGUAGCAACUGCAUUUUACUCUGUUUUUUCGAAACUAUGUUGAAAUUGCAGAGAAAGCAGUUUACAUGGAGCAGGAGCCAUGAAAAGAAAUUAUUUCAGAAAGAG
rnacentral:lncRNA from 1 species